GAUGAACGCUAGCUACAGGCUUAACACAUGCAAGUCGAGGGGAAACGACAUCGAAAGCUUGCUUUUGAUGGGCGUCGACCGGCGCACGGGUGAGUAACGCGUAGCCAACCUGCCUAUCACUUGGGAAUAACCUUGCGGAAGUAAGACUAAAACCCAAUGACAUCCCACGAAGACAUCUGAAUGGGAUUAAAGAUUUAUCGGUGAUGGAUGGGGAUGCGUCUGAUUAGCUUGUUGGCGAGGUAACGGCCCACCAAGGCAACGAUCAGUAGGGGUUCUGAGAGGAAGGUCCCUGAGAUUGGAACCGACACCCGGUCCAAACUCCUACGGGAGGGACCACUAAGGGAGACAGGACAAGGGAAGAGUGCAUGAACGAGCCAAGUAGCGUGCAGGAACACGGCCCUAUGGAUUAUAACCUUCUUUUAUAAGGCAAUAAAGUGCGUCUCCUGAGACUUUUUGACUGUACCUUAUGAAUAAGGACCGGCUAAUUACGUG
rnacentral:rRNA from 1 species